rnacentral:rRNA from 1 species
GAUGAACGCUGGCGGCGUGCCUAAUACAUGCAAGUCGAGCGAACAGAUGAGGAGCUUGCUCCUCUGACGUUAGCGGCGGACGGGUGAGUAACACGUGGAUAACUAACCUAAAAGCCUGGGUUAACUUGGGGAAACCGGACCUAAUACCGGAAAAUAUAUUGAACCGCAGGGUUCAUUAGUGAAAGACGGUUUUGCUGUCACUUAAAGAUGGAUCCGCGCCGCAUUAGCUAGUUGGUAAGGUAACGGCUUACCAAGGCAACGAUGCGUAGCCGACCUGAGAGGGUGAUCGGCCACACUGGAACUGAGACACGGUCCAGACUCCUACGGGAGGCAGCAGUAGGGAAUCUUCCGCAAUGGGCUAAAGCCUGACGGAGCAACGCCGCGUGAGUGAUGAAGGUCUUCGGAUCGUAAAACUCUGUUAUUAGGGAAGAACAAAUGUGUAAGUAACUAUGCACGUCUUGACGGUACCUAAUCAGAAAGCCACGGCUAACUACGUG